GCCGGGGUGCCCGAGUGGCCCAAGGGGGUGGGCUCGAGACCCACUGGGGCUCCCAACCCCGCGCGGGUUCGAAUCCCGCCCCCGGCG
rnacentral:tRNA from 1 species